ensembl:lncRNA
AGCAGCAGCAGCAGCAGCAGCAGCAGUCCCUUGUUUCAGGGCCUCCCCAGGCUCCAGGUGGCCCUCAGGGAGGAAUCCACUUUUUCCAAAAGGCAGAGCUGGUACACCAGAACUUAGAUCCUGCUUCUCAGCCCCUCAGCCUGCUCUCUCUGCUCUAGUUCAGUCCUGCCUCACCGUUCCACACCUCGUGCUGCCUCCCACCUUCUGGCAUGUUCUAGUGUCCCUCUGCCAGGAGUGAUAGGGGACCAAUCUCAAGGCUCCACGUGUCUCCAAAUUGGUCCUGAGGGUCCUCUACUGUUCUGGGGCCAAGAUUACCAUCCUGUGUAACACUGAGGGGGCCCGAGGGGGUCCUGGGGCCAAUUUCCAGCCCUGCCAAUCGCGUGUCUCUAGUUGUGACUUGUAUCAUAUUCUGAACCUUGAUGUGUGGAUCUAUAAAAUGGGAAAAGUAACACCUUGCCCCAGAGAAUAGUUGUGAGGCUUGGAAAUAAGGUUUAGAAAGUACACAGCCCAGUUCAUGCAUGGGACUGGACUCUGGCCAGGCUAGCUACAUUGUUAAUCUGCCAUCUGGGGACAGCACCCAGCAGGGUUUCUCUCAGGGAGGGAGGAAAACAGGCUACCUGUUCUGUAGACAGGAACCAAGGAAAUAGCAGAGGGCCAGUGGUCCUGAGAGCUCUCUGAGGGGUCUCAUGGUAGGUAGUAUAUCUGGGAGACCUGGGGGAAAGUAAAGGAAGGAGGAGAAUCCAAGAUAAAGGGCGCUACUGCAGGGAAAUGGGGCUGGGCCUCACCGAGACUGUAAGAUGUGUCUCACAACUGUCCACCUGACGGUGUGCGUUUAUCCACGGGCUCUUCUGUCCCGUUGGUUGAGUGUUGCCUCUAAGGGCAUUGGUUUCCUGAGCCUAUGGACUCCACAGGCAUGUGUGCUGAACAAGGUCCCACUGGUAUCCACAAAGGCAUGGAAACUCUGGGGCAGAGGGGAAGACUUACGGAGUACUGGAGGUGCCACAAAGCAACCAGAUCCAUCUAAAACAACCAGCUUCUGCUGGUUCUACCCUGGGCUUUGAGGUAACUUGGAGCCAAAUCAGUACCUGAGGCAGAUCUGACAGGGCACCUGCCUUCCUGCUGGCCUGAAAAGGACAGGCACUCCCCUGGAAAAGCUCUGUCUUCCCGACAUUAGCAAUACUUGAAAAUCUAUCCAUCCACUCAUCUAGACAGAGUUUCCCUGGCCUGGGGCUUCCUCAUUUUGAAAUAUCCAGCCUGAAUUCAUCAUUGGGAACAUCCUCAGGCCUACUUCAGCCAUUCCCUUGUUUUGUGUCCCUGGAUGAAGUCACAAUGCUGAAACCCAGUGUCCUCUUCUGUAAGCCAGAAGCCAGAAGUCAUGAUCACAGUGACCUCACAGGGUUGCUAAGGGGCUGAGAUGAGAGUCCGAAUGUGUCAGAUCUUUGCUAACAAUGAAAUGGUGUACAGAUGGAAGGCAUCUACCUCUCCUUAUCCCUUUUAUCACCUUCGUUGUCCUUACUAUGGUCAUCCUCAACAGAAGGGAAGAGUAACAUUUCUUACAGCAGAGUGGGCUUUGCUGAUGCCCUUGGAGACCCCUGUCUGAAGUAGGCCACGCAUGGGCUGUCUGGAGGAAAUGGAUUGAAUUGAUAAUCAGUUUCAUUAGGGGUCUGCUUCAGAGGUGGGUCCACGGGAACCUUAACCCACACUUCCACUGGGCUGUCCGCUAGGAUGGCCUAGGCCUCCCUGGCUAUACAUAGCUUGGUGAUGUGAAAGGCUUAGAGGCAGGAACUUCAAAGGAAGCUGCAGCUAAUGAAAAAUUCAAGCUAAUUGUUCGUUAAAAAGCCCUGCUGCUUUGGAUGGGAUCCUCUAGGCUGGGGAGGGGGAUGUGUGGUGGCCUGUGGCUACCGUCAGCUCGUCAGGAGGACCCAAGAGCGGGGGCUGGAGAGGAUGGGGAGCUUCCUGGGCAGGCAGCCAAGGGCUGCAUCUCUGGUGUCUGCAUUUGCGGGAGGGGGAGGCUCCACGGAAGCUCUGGCUUCCAUUGUGCUAAAGCACAAUGCCUCUGCCUAAACAGCUAUGUCUGUGUGGCUGGCGGGUGCCUACUGUGUGUGCUGAGAGGUGUGCAGAGGAAGAGGGAAGAUAGAGAAGUAUCCUGUUAAGUCUCCAGGAUAAGUCAAGACCCAGUGGGGAUGGGUCAGUGAUUGGAGAAACACUUUCUCCUACUCUGGGAUAAGAAGUGUCCAUUCUGUGGGCAGUGGGCUUCGCCUGAGGUGUGCCUGCUCUGAGGCAGGGGAAACAAGAAAUGUGUUUGGUAGUGAAGGUAACUAGGGAGGAGUUAACUCAAGGAUAUUGGUCCCUGCUGAGGCCCCCGGCUGGGAUAAUGUGAGCACCGAGUUAGAAUUAUGUGACAGGCAUAGUCAAGAUGAGUGGGGGCGGCCAGGAUGUGUGGGGGAGGGCUGCUCAUUGUGUGGAUCCUGGGAGCAGUCCCAGAGGCAUGGAUCGAGAGUGGGGAGAUUAGCUCAGACUACUUGAUAAACGGAUUGAGGUUGCAAGAAGUGGCCGUGAGGAUCAGCUCGAAAGUUGAAAGCAGAGAAGACAGAGGUGUGUAGGGGGUUGCCUGUGGGUCUGGAGAGGUGAGAUGGCACCAUGGAAUUUGAGAUUCCAGGGGUCAUAUGGAGAGCAGUUCCAGCCCUAAAACUGCACGUGAAGUAUAGUGAGGAAGGGCUACACUUUCCCAGGCCAAGGCUAAAUGAGAAAGCUGGGCUCUUUGAUGGUGUUUCCCAGAGUGAAAGCUCAUUAGGGGACGUGUUGUUGUUUUUCAGUCACCCAGUUGUGUCCAGCUCUUUGUGACCCCAUGGACAGCAGCAUGCCAGGCUUCUCUGUCCCUCACCAUCUCCCAGAGUUUGCCCAAGUUCAUGUCCAUUGCACUGAUGAUGCCAUCCAGCCAUCUCAUCCUCUGAUGCCCUCUUCUCCUUCUGCCCUCAAUCUUUCCCAGCAUCAGGGACUUUUCCAAUGAGUCAGCUGUUCAUGCCAGAUGAUCAAAAUACUGGAGUUUCAGCUUCAGCAUCAGUCCUUCCAAGGAGUAUUCAGGGUUGAUUUCCCUUAAGACUGACUGGUUUGAUCUCCUUGGGGGCAUACUUUUGGGUAAAACUCUGUCAAGCUGGUUUUCAUCUAUUUGCCUGACACUGACCUCUCUUGUUGAGUAUAAUCUGUACUGCAAGAUUUCCUCACUGUAGAGAAAAAUAUUUUUCAAUGUGGCAAGUGGAGAUGGCAUGGAGCCUGGAGGCACACAGAUUGGAGUCCAAAUCCUGGCUAUAAACUGUGUCCCUAACACCUUGGAACUGAUCUUUGGUGAUGUCACCUUUCAGAUCUGGGUUUUCUCAUUGGUAAGAUGUGGACAAGCAGUAGUGCCCACCUUGGGACUGUGGUGUGGCCUGAAUGAAACAAAUUUCCUGUGUGAUAUCUGGCAUGUAAGUACAUGCUCAUACCCUGUGAUGAAUGGAUGGCUUUCUGAAUCUGGCAUCUUCUAAUGGUGCAGAAGAAAAAUUCUCAUGCCUCCGGUGAAGGUAAUGAAAAUGACCAAGGAUUCUGGGAGACCUUCUCUUUGAGGUGGCCUGAAAUUUUGCGAAGUUUCUUCACUUGAAAUGUCUACAGCCUGGUUUUUGCCAGCAGAGUCUCUGGAGCUGACCUUCCUGCAGGAGGAUUCCAGGGGCAGGGAGACCUGGUUAGAUGCAGAGACGGGAACCUGUCCUGUGGGGAGAGGAGGGAUGGAAAGUGGGAGGAGGUGGAAGUGGGACAUUUCUGUAUGAAAGUCUGGAGAGGUCACUCUUUUGUGUGGUAUCUGAGGAUUGAACAAGUGGAAACAGGCUUAGGUUCAUGCACCAUGGAGGCGAAGGGUGGACUUAGAAGAAAAUUCCUAGUGAGUUGGUUGUCUCAUUUCCCUCCUGGGAGAUUAUUCCUAAAAUUGAGGCAAUUCUUGAUAGUCUGGUUCAGGAGAAAACACAGUCAUGAAGACCUCUCCAUUGUUCUAUUUUAUUGCUUUCUAAAAUAAACAGGGGGCUUCCCAGGUGACGCAGUGGUAAAAAUCUGCCUUCCAGUACAGGAGAUGAAAGAGGCGUGUGUUCGAUCCCUGGGUCUGGAAGAUCCCCUGGAGAAGGAAAUGUCAACCUACUCUAGUAGCUCAGUCGGUAAAGAAUCUGCCUGGAGUACAGGACGCCCAGGUUCAAUUCCAGGAUCAGAAAGAUCUUCCAGAGAAGGAAAUGGCAACCCUUUCAGUAUUCUUGCCUGGAGAAUCCCAUGGACAGAGGAGCCUGGCAGGCUACAGUCCAUGGGGUUGCAAGAGUUGGAUAGGACUUAGCGACUAAACCACCACCACUAAAAUAAACACGUCACAGAGGAAUACAGUUUUGCAAAAGAUUCAAACAAUACAUACAUCAGUAAAUAAAGUAAAUGGUGAACACAUUCUUGGUUCCCAAGUUACCUCUUUCAUUCCUGCUACCUUCCAGAGGGAUACCACUGUUCACAGUUUGAUGUGUGUUCUUUCAGAAUCUUGCCCAUAUAUUUACAUGUAUAUGUUGUUGUUUAGUUGCUAAGUUGUGUCUGACUCUUUGCGACCCCAAGGACUGUAGCCUGCCAGGUUCCUCUGUCCAUAUUUAAAAUAGAUAUAAAGCUUUUAAGCAUGAUAUUUGUAUUGUUCUGUAACAUAUUUUUGUAUGAAAUAUGUUUGAAGAUCUUCCCAUAUUUUUUUUACAUACAGACUGGCCUUAAUUAAAAAAACACCUACAAGUUUAGUUCAGUUCAGUUCAGUCGCUCAAUUGUGUCCGACUCUUUGUGACCCCAUGAAUCGCAGCACGCCAGGCCUCCCUGUCCAUCACCAACUCCCAGAGUUCACUCAGACUCGCGUCCAUUGAGUCAGUGAUGCCAUCCAGCCAUCUCAUCCUCUG